ensembl:lncRNA
AAAUUGCUUAGACUUGUGAAGUUGAAAACUGCAUAGCCUAAUUAAAAAAAAAUGUUUCUAUGUUACUGAUCAAAUUUUUUUCCUAGUGUAGUUCAUUGUAAUGCCAUUGUGUUCUUCUCUUUUGUGCAGUUUUACAUAAUACACCAACACUUUUACCUGUUCCCAACAAAGUGGUGGCUGAAAUAUGUGCAGUAAGUGGACUUUUUCUAACUUUCCAUCAAAAGUAAAAAAAAAAAAGUGCAACACUUUGGAAUACCCAUUUGUUUCUUUUGCACAGGACAGUAAAGAAACCCUCUCAGAUGACUGUCCUUUGGAGGAAGUACUUGCAAAAGAUGACCAUCAAUGGCUUCUAUUGACAUAAUCAUUGAAAUAACACUCAAGAAAGUAAGCAUGUUGUCUUGUCUUUUAUUAAUUUAAUGAAGGCUUUUCUGUGUAA